GGUCGUAGCCAAGUGGUUACCGCAACAGAAUCAAAAUCUGUUUCUCUUCAGCUGUACAUGUGUAGGUUCGAAACCUGCCCGAUCA